rnacentral:rRNA from 1 species
GAUGAACGCUGACAGAAUGCUUAACACAUGCAAGUCGAUGGGGAAGUGGUGCUUGCACCAUGGUAACCAUGGCGGACGGGUGAGUAACACGUAAGGAACUUACCUGCGGGACCGGGAUAACAGCAGGAAACUGCUGACAAGACCGGAUAAGGUCAUUAAGCUGCAUAGCUUAGUGAUGAAAGGAGACGCCUGCGGAGAGCCUUGCGUCCUAUUAGCUAGUUGGAGGGGUAACGGCCCACCAAGGCGAAGAUAGGUAGCCGGCCUGAGAGGGUGGACGGCCACAAGGGGACUGAGAUACGGCCCUUACUCCUACGAGAGGCAGCAGUGGGGAAUAUUGGACAAUGGGGGCAACCCUGAUCCAGCAAUUCUGUGUGCACGAAGACGGUUUUCGGAUUGUAAAGUGCUUUCAGCAGGGAAGAAGGAAGUGACGGUACCUGCAGAAGAAGCGACGGCUAAAUACGUG